AGCUCCAAUAGCGUAUAUUAAAGUUGUUGCAGUUAAAAAGCUCGUAGUUGGAUUUUGGACGUGGUGCAGCCCGGUCCGCCGAAAGGCGCGCACUGGGCCGUGCUCGUCUUCCUUCUGAAGACCGUGGGUGCCCUUCACUGGGUGCCCCCGGGGUUCAGGACUUUUACUUUGAGAAAAUUAGAGUGUUUAAGGCAGGCCAACGCUUGAAUACAUUAGCAUGGAAUAAUAAAAUAGGACUUUGGUUCUAUUUUGUUGGUUUCUAGGACCGAAGUAAUGAUUAAUAGGGAUAGUUGGGGGCAUUCGUAUUUAAUUGUCAGAGGUGAAAUUCUUGGAUUUAUGAAAGACGAACUUCUGCGAAAGCAUUUGCCAAGGAUGUUUUCA
rnacentral:rRNA from 1 species